CCUACGGGAUGCAGCAGUGGGGGAUAUUGCACAAUGGGGGAAACCCUGAUGCCGCGACGCCGCGUGUAGGAAGACGGUCCUCUGGAUUGUAAACUACUGUCCCCAGGGACGAAGAUGACGGUACCUGGGGAGGAAGCUCCGGCAAACUACGUGCCAGCAGCCGCGGUAAUACGUAGGGAGCGAGCGUUGUCCGGAAUUACUGGGUGAAAAGGGAGCGUAGGGGGGGAUGCAAGUUGGGUGUUAAAUCUACCGGCUAAACUGGUAGUCGCACUCAAAACUGCAGCUCUGGAGUGAAGUAGAGGCAGGCGGAAUUCCUAGUGUAGCGGUGAAAUGCGUAGAGAGUAGGAGGAACACCAGUGGCGAAGGCGGCCUGCUGGGCUUUUACUGACGCUGAGGCUCGAAAGUGUGGGGAGCAAACAGGAUUAGAUACCCCUGUAGUC
rnacentral:rRNA from 1 species